rnacentral:rRNA from 1 species
UACUCUUCGGGGUUGUAGGACUGCAACGUGGACUUAAAGAUUAUAGAAGAACUACCUGGGAAGGUAGGCCAAAGAGAGUAAUAGCCUCGUAUUCGAAAUAGUCUUUAUACCUAGCAGUAUCCUGAGUACGGCGAGACACGAGAAAUCUCGUCGGAAUCUGGGAGGACCAUCUCCCAACCCUAAAUACUCUCUAGUGACCGAUAGUGAACCAGUACCGUGAGGGAAAGGUGAAAAGCACCCCGGGAGGGGAGUGAAAUAGAACCUGAAACCGUGUGCCUACAACAAGUUCGAGCCCGUUAAUGGGUGAGAGCGUGCCUUUUGUAGAAUGAACCGGCGAGUUACGAUAUGAUGCGAGGUUAAGUUGAAGAGACGGAGCCGUAGGGAAACCGAGUCUUAAUAGGGCGCAUUAGUAUCAUGUCGUAGACCCGAAACCAUGUGACCUACCCAUGAGCAGGUUGAAGGUGAGGUAAAACUCACUGGAGGACCGAACCAGGGCACGUUGAAAAGUGCUUGGAUGACUUGUGGGUAGCGGAGAAAUUCCAAACGAACUUGGAGAUAGCUGGUUCUCUCCGAAAUAGCUUUAGGGCUAGCGUCGAUGUUAAGUCUCUUGGAGGUAGAGCACUGUUUGGGUGAGGGGUCCAUCCCGGAUUACCAAUCUCAGAUAAACUCCGAAUGCCAACGAGAUAUAAUCGGCAGUCAGACUGCGAGUGCUAAGAUCCGUAGUCGAAAGGGAAACAGCCCAGACCAUCAGCUAAGGUCCCAAAAUAUAUGUUAAGUGGAAAAGGAUGUGGGGUUGCACAGACAACUAGGAUGUUAGCUUAGAAGCAGCUAUUCAUUCAAAGAGUGCGUAAUAGCUCACUAGUCGAGUGACCCUGCGCCGAAAAUGUACCGGGGCUAAAACAUAUUACCGAAGCUGUGGAUACCUUUAUAGGUAUGGUAGGAGAGCGUUCUAUGUGCGAAGAAGGUGUACCGUGAGGAGUGCUGGAGCGCAUAGAAGUGAGAAUGCCGGUAUGAGUAGCGAAAGACAGGUGAGAAUCCUGUCCACCGUAAGACUAAGGUUUCCAGGGGAAGGCUCGUCCGCCCUGGGUUAGUCGGGACCUAAGGAGAGACCGAAAGGUGUAUCCGAUGGACAACAGGUUGAUAUUCCUGUACUAGAGUAUAUAGUGAUGGAGGGACGCAGUAGGCUAACUAAACCAGACGAUUGGAAGUGUCUGGCCAAGCAGUGAGGUGUGAUAUGAGUCAAAUGCUUAUAUCUAUAACAUUGAGCUGUGAUGGGGAGCGAAGUUUAGUAGCGAAGUUAGUGAUGUCACACUGCCGAGAAAAGCUUCUAGCGUUAAUUAUACUCUACCCGUACCGCAAACCGACACAGGUAGUCGAGGCGAGUAGCCUCAGGUGAGCGAGAGAACUCUCGUUAAGGAACUCGGCAAAAUGGCCCCGUAACUUCGGGAGAAGGGGCGCUGACUUAUGGUCAGCCGCAGUGAAUAGGCCCAAGCAACUGUUUAUCAAAAACACAGCUCUCUGCUAAAUCGUAAGAUGAUGUAUAGGGGGUGACGCCUGCCCGGUGCUGGAAGGUUAAGAGGAGUGCUUAGCGUAAGCGAAGGUAUGAAUUGAAGCCCCAGUAAACGGCGGCCGUAACUAUAACGGUCCUAAGGUAGCGAAAUUCCUUGUCGGGUAAGUUCCGACCCGCACGAAAGGCGUAAUGAUUUGGGCACUGUCUCAACGAGAGACUCG